UCACUGCUAUGUUAAGAAGUGCCUUUUGCCCCCGCCAUGAUUCUGAGGCCUACCCAGCCAUGGGGAACUUGAGCUCCAGGAAGAAAAGGAUCAUCAUUUAUCCUUCCAUGCUGUGUCUUUAGAACCUAGUGUGGUGCCCGACACAUAGAAGACUCCUGCAACCGCCAUUCUACUUUCUGUCUCUGUGAUUUUGACCACUCUUCAUACCUCGUAAAAAGAAACCACCCAUAAAGGAAAUUUCCCACAUGCUGCUGGAACCUGCUUCACCUUUUGUUAUCCCAACUCCCAAGAUCUGCAAGAAAUACAUCUACCAGCUGGGUGCAGUUGAACAAAAUCAUUACAGGAUUAGCAGUUUUCUGACCCACUUACUAAAAAGAAGCUGAAUCGCUGAAUCGAGACCCCAGGGAAAUGCAGAUUUAUACCUUUGAUGUAUUUCUUGAUUUUUCUUAAAUUAGAUUAUAUAAUCAGUU